rfam:Oryza glaberrima chromosome 4 Oglab04_0270_2, whole genome shotgun sequence.
AAUAAGUGUAGUUUUGCACUAUUCACGUUCAACGUUUGACCGUCCGUCUUAUUUGAAAAUCUUUCAUGAUUAGUAUUUUUAUUGCUAUUAGAUGAUAAAACAUGAAUAAUACUUUAUGUGUGACUAAAUGUUUUUGAUUUUUUCAUAAAUUUUUCAAAUAAGACAGACGGUCAAACAUUGAACGUGAAUAGUGCAAAACUGCACUUAUU